rnacentral:lncRNA from 1 species
CACUUUUCCUGUAUUCAUUAAUUUGAUACUUAUAAUGACAUUGUGAAUUAUAUGCCAUUAUUUCUAUUUUACAGAUGCAGAAACUGAGGCACGGAGAGGGUUAAAUAGCCUGUGAAAUACAACCUAACCCGAACCAGGAUGUGAAUUUAAGCAACUCUACUCAAGGUUUCUGCUCAUAAAUUAGAUAUUGAGAAGAUGACGUGGCUCACUCUAGCGAGCCUGAGAAACCCCGAAAUAACCAAGCCACUCAAAUGACGUCAAGAACUGAUAGGAACGAACAGAUGGCUCUGAUAGCAUUUCAAAGUGUUGUGUUUUUGUUAUGUUCAGAAGAGGAGGAAAGAAAAAUCUCGAGUAGAAAUCAUAAAUAUUAGCUUUAGUUAACCAAUUAUUUUUAUAAUGAAGUUAGUAUUUGGCCAUCUGGAUGAAAUCAUACUGCAAAGGAUGGCAAGGCACCUGGGACAAAGGGAGGGAGGCAGAACCAACAGCUCUGAGGAAAAUCACCUCCSGGAUUCUAGUACACAAGAACCCUCCCUCCCAGGAAAUUGUUAAAGAGAGAAGGAAAGCAGGGGCCUGGAGAGACCGCCCCCACAGAGACAAAAAGAGCAGCAUCCGGACGAGUGGUACCGCAGUGCAGGUUUUCUAGAUGAAUAUUUGGAUGCUCUCUACAGAAUGGGGAUGACAGAGAACCAUGGAAGAAUUCUUUUCUGUUAGAGCCAAGAAAUGAAUGAAGCUCUGGUCUCCCAUGCUGCAGAUCAUGAGGCACCAGCACUCCUGAGCUGACCUGGCUACUUUUGCCCUACUUUCUAUUAGUCUUCUGAUGGUGGAGGCAACGGGUUAUUUUAAGAGGAAAGAGAAAAAUGAGUAGAGACCGUUCUUGUGGACUACAGAAAGAGUAUCCAAACAAGUUACUCAUGGGGAAGAAAUCAUCCUUCAAACAAUAUCUUAGCUGCCAUCUAACUCAAACUUCAUUGGCAUGAUCAUGAUCAUUUUUCAAAUGAAGAAACUGGUUUCCAAGACAGUACGAUGGCUUUCCUCUUGGUGACCUAGUGGCAGAGUUAGACUGAGAUCCCAGAUUUCGUUCUAGGACUUUUUUCCCUUCAAACUGGGGUUGGCAUACUAUGGCCAUUGGCCAGAUCAUGAGCCAAGAAUGUGUUUUUGUUUGUUUGUUUAUUUGUUUGUUUUUAAAUGUUUGAAAACAAAAUUAAACAAAUAACUGUACUUUGUACACAAAAAAUUAUAUGAAAUUCAAAUUUCAGUGUCAAUGAAGUUUCAUGCAAUACAAUCACCCUCAUUCAUUUACAUAUUGUUUAUGGCUGUUCUCAUGCUAAAAGGGCAGUAAUCAUUUAGCUGUGACAGAAAUUUUUAUGGCCCUCACAACCUAAAAUAUUUUUAUUUCAACAUUUACAGGAAACAUUUGCAGAUAUCUGUACUAAAGCAUAUUUCUCCUAUGCAUGGGAAAUAGGGUUAGAAGUCAAAAAAGGAAAUGAGGUAUCUUUAAGGUGCUUAAUUUUAAAAGUUCAGCUCUGUGCUUUGAAUGGCUUGCUCACAAAAUCCACACUGUUCCUCUCACAUACCCAGAGGCAGUCACUCCCCUCUCACUCCAAUGGGAAAGCUAAUAAUGAGAGUGUUAAUUGUGUUUCUGG